UUAGUCGUGUAUCCUUCCGCCACUGCUAUUUCUGCGAUUUCUGCUACUUCCGCGAUUUCUGUGACCUGCUACUUCUGCGAUUUCUGUGACUUCUGCUACUUCUGCGAUUUCUGCUACUUCUGCGAUUUCUGUGACUCCUGCGAUUUCUGCGACUUACCACCGUAUGAAAAAGUUACAUCUGCCCACACAGAAAAUUGCAUCUCAACAAACUUGUCAUUGGUACCUGAACUACAUUUCAGUCACUCAGUAAAUUGAUAACUCAAAAUAUCAUUGUCAACAGAUCUGGAGAAAUUGCCACUCCGUCUUUAGACCGUUUUCGUCAGACGAGAGACACACUUCUCACUCUUGAUUACUGGUUGCUGUACGUACCUAUCCACAUCAAGGCUGUUGAGAGAGACUCGUGAAGAUUCAAGACAGCUCUUAGAGGAUUUGCAGUUUAAAAGUGACAUAAUUGUGAAAUAAGUGUGCAGAUGAGUGAUUAAACUGUGUUUUAUUGAAGUUGUUAUGCGAUUUUAAAGGAAUGAUAAAUGUUGAAUACAGUGAGUGAAUAAUGAAAAUCUCAUUUUCCUCAUGUUUAAGCCGUCCUAUACCUGUAAUUUUCCGCCAUUUAUUUACUGAUAAGCACUAGUUGGAGAGUGACACGCCGCCGCCGCCCCUCCCCCUUCUUCACAAUCUUGGUGUGACACUGACCUUUAACACAGCCCAAAGUCUACAAUAUGCAUUUUGAGGUUGUUGAUAUGAAAGUGGGAAGUACAGAUCUUCCAGUUAAAUCAGGAAUAGCUUAAGUGCAGUACUUGAAAGUAACACAGGAAAAGCUUACUUAUGUAGGUGGUAGUAGUGUCGGCAAAAAGUUCGUGUGUGUGAAGUUGCCAUGUAGAACACCAGGUGUAAAACUUUUACCGCGAGCCUUGAACUGUGUCGGAAUAAAAGUGAGGCAUUCAUAUGACCCAAUAAUGCUGUUUUCAUUUCACUGCACUUAUACAGAUGUCUGAGUUCUGCUGUGUUAACAUUGCAAAGUUCUGUAGGCAUGUGAAGUAUUAACCAAAACUGUCAUAUUGG